CUUUACGUUAUUCAAAUGUAUUCACUUCCAAACUAAUUCUUUGCUAUUGUUAAUUCAGAUUAUCUCUCAAUAUCGUGUGCACCGUCAACCCUCACAAGUAGCAGCUACAACUUUCAGUUUGCUCAUCUUUGCAAUGAAGCCACUUCUAUUAAUCAGGUAUUUGCUCAGCAAAUAGAGCUAUUCCGAAUAAACAAUGGUAAUACAAGCAUUCAAUUCAUCAUGGGAAUGGAAAGUUGGCUUAUACCUAUUGUGAAUGAUGACUUCUAUUAUCCAUUGUUUAGAGAUUUUCUGGAAGCUUUGGAACUAUGUAAUGGAGAUUUGAUUUUAGUUGGAGUACUA